AUUGAACGCUAGCGGGAUGCCUUACACAUGCAAGUCGAGGGACCGGCGCACGGGUGAGUAACACGUAUCCCACCUGCCCUUUACUCGGGGAUAGCCUUUCGAAAGAAAGAUUAAUACCCGAUAUAAAGGAUGGGGAUGCGUUCCAUUAGGUUGUUGUUGAGGUAACGGCUCACCCAGCCUUCGAUGGAUAGGGGUUCUGAGAGGAAGGUCCACCACAUUGGAACUGAGACACGGUCCAAACUCCGACGGGAGGAAGCAGUGAGGAAUAUUGGUAAAUGGGCGCUAGCCUGAACCAGCCAAGUAGCGUGAAGGAUGAAGGCUUAUGGGUCGUAAACUUCUUUUAGAUAAGAAUAUGUAUUAUAUGAAUAAGGAUCGGCUAACUCCGUGCCAGCAGCCGCGGUAAUUC
rnacentral:rRNA from 1 species